AGCUUUGCAGAGUGGCAAUAUUGUAGCCAAUGAGUUUUAUCCGAGGCGCAAUUAUUGCUAAUUGAAAAAAAAAUUCAUCAAACUAUACAUAAGAGUCUAUGAUCUAUCUCAAUAUA
rfam:Myotis brandtii contig152294, whole genome shotgun sequence.